rnacentral:lncRNA from 1 species
GCUGUACCAGUUCCAUGAGGGAAUUUGGUUUAGGGUGCUUCAAUACAAAGGAUGGUCUUUUGGCAAUGGUUUCUUUGAAGGCUCUGUUUUCAAUAGCUGGAUAUGCAGCAUAACCUUGUUUAUUCAAUUGUAACACUUUGUAUUUUUUGGAUAAUGUGUAUUAACCUUUGGACUAUCUUAUAAUAUCCUAGAUUAGAACUUGUUUAUGUAAUCAAUUUUUUUAAACACUCAAAU